UAUUAUUUUAUAUGUGAAAAGAAAAUUUAGGUAUUAAUUGUUAAGAUCAUUAAACUUAAAGAAUUUGACGGUAUUUUAGUCUUUUCAGAGUAAUCUGUCCUAUAAUUGAUAAUACACGAAUAGAAAUACUUAAUUUAUGGUUUGUAUAUCAUUGUCAUAAAAUUAUCUUGGGAAAGUUUAUUUUUAGUAUAAAAAAAUAUUUUAAAUGUCAAAUCAAGAUGCAGCUUAUAAUUAAGAAGAGAUGGAUUACAAUUAAAUAGAAAAUACGAAUAAAUUAUUUAGGAAAUUAUUGAAGGUGGAUUUGAUUGUAAAUUUAUUGAUUUAUGAAUUGAUUUAAGCUCUAAAAUAUGUACACAUCGCCCGUCGCUCUCAUUUUGAUAAUGAG
rnacentral:rRNA from 1 species